AUUGCUUCUCUGCCUUUUGGCUAAGAUCAAGUGUAAAAAAAUUAUUAAUAUGACUUUUUCUGACCUGGAAAUAAAACCAUUU
rnacentral:snRNA from 1 species